rnacentral:misc_RNA from 1 species
UUUCCGUAGGUGAACCUGCGGAAGGAUCAUUAUUGGAUUUUGAAACUUCAGGCUGCUGCUUGCUCUCCUCGGAGGGCAUGUGCACGCUUGUUGUCCAUUAUUUCUCCCACUGUGCACAAAUUGUAGACCUUUCAGUAGGCCUAUGUUGUUUUUCACAAUCUCUGAAUGUAAUAGAAUGGUUUUGAAUCUUGGGAAAUACAAUACAACUUUCAGCAACGGAUCUCUUGGCUCUC